UACGUAGGGGGCAAGCGUUGUCCGGAUUUAUUGGGCGUAAAGAGCGUGUAGGCGGCCAUUCAGGUCAGCUGUGAAAACUCGAGGCUCAACCUCGAGACGUCGGUUGAAACCGUUUGGCUAGAGUCCGGAAGGGGAGAGUGGAAUUCCCGGUGUAGCGGUGAAAUGCGCAGAUAUCGGGAAGAACACCCGUGGCGAAGGCGGCUCUCUGGGACGGUACUGACGCUGAGACGCGAAAGCGUGGGGAGCGAACAGG
rnacentral:rRNA from 1 species